rnacentral:lncRNA from 1 species
UUGUGGCUUUUAUAGCCAAAAAUACAAUAUUCUGUUAAUUUUUAUUGCUCCAUUUUUUGUCCUUUUCCUUUGCUUGUUUGCAGGUGCGGCAAAGGCAUGGUGGUGGUAGACGGUAUGGGGGUGUGUGAUGGUGCUGGUGGCAGACAGCAUGGGAGAGUGGGAGUGGUGCUGGUGGCAGACAGCAUGGGAGAGUGGGAAGAGGCAAGUGGGAGUUUAGGGUUUUGGGAUUGGGCUUGGAUGUUGGGCUAGGUUAAUUUUAGGUUUUGGGUUUGAGGAUGGGUUAAAUGGGCUUGGUAUUAGUGGGCCAAAAUUGGCCUACUACAG